rnacentral:rRNA from 1 species
UACGGGGGGGGCAAGCGUUGUUCGGAAUUAUUGGGCGUAAAGAGCUCGUAGGCGGCUUGUCGCGUCGGAUGUGAAAGCCCGGGGCUUAACUCCGGGUCUGCAUUCGAUACGGGCAGGCUAGAGUUCGGUAGGGGAGAUCGGAAUUCCUGGUGUAGCGGUGAAAUGCGCAGAUAUCAGGAGGAACACCGGUGGCGAAGGCGGAUCUCUGGGCCGAUACUGACGCUGAGGAGCGAAAGCGUGGGGAGCGAACAGG